CGUAGGGACCAAGCGUUGUUCGGAUUUACUGGGUGUAAAGGGCGCGUAGGCGGCGUGGUAAGUCACUUGUGAAAUCUCCGAGCUUAACUCGGAACGGUCAAGUGAUACUGCUGUGCUAGAGUGCAGAAGGGGCAAUCGGAAUUCUUGGUGUAGCGGUGAAAUGCGUAGAUAUCAAGAGGAACACCUGAGGUGAAGACGGGUUGCUGGGCUGACACUGACGCUGAGGCGCGAAAGCUAGGGUAGCAAACGGGAUUAGAUACCCCGGUAGUCCUAGCCCUAAACGAUGAAUACUUGGUGUCUGGAGUUUUUAUUCUCCGGGUGCCGUCGCUAACGUUUUUAGUAUUCCGCCUGGGGAGUACGCUCGCAAGAGUG
rnacentral:rRNA from 1 species